rnacentral:rRNA from 1 species
AGAGUUUGAUCCUGGCUCAGGAUGAACGCUGGCGGUAUGCUUAACACAUGCAAGUCGAACGCAGCUAGAAAUAGUUGAGUGGCGGACGGGUGAGUAACGCGUGAGAAUCUGCCAAGAGGUUCGGGACAACCACUGGAAACGGUGGCUAAUACCGGAUAUGCCGAAAGGUGAAAGAUUAAUUGCCUCUUGAUGAGCUCGCGUCUGAUUAGCUAGUUGGUGGGGUAAAGGCCUACCAAGGCAGCGAUCAGUAACUGGUCUGAGAGGAUGACCAGUCACACUGGGACUGAGACACGGCCCAGACUCCUACGGGAGGCAGCAGUGGGGAAUUUUCCGCAAUGGGCGAAAGCCUGACGGAGCAAUACCGCGUGAGGGAGGAAGGCUCUUGGGUCGUAAACCUCUUUUCUCAGGGAAGAAGAUCUGACGGUACCUGAGGAAUCAGCAUCGGCUAACUCCGUGCCAGCAGCCGCGGUAAUACGGAGGAUGCAAGCGUUAUCCGGAAUGAUUGGGCGUAAAGCGUCCGUAGGUGGCUAUUCAAGUCUGCUGUUAAAGCGCAGGGCUUAACCCUGUAAAGGCGGUGGAAACUGGAGAGCUAGAGUGUGGUAGGGGUAGAGGGAAUUCCCGGUGUAGCGGUGAAAUGCGUAGAGAUCGGGAAGAACACCAGUGGCGAAAGCGCUCUACUGGGCCACAACUGACACUGAUGGACGAAAGCUAGGGGAGCGAAUGGGAUUAGAUACCCCCGUAGUCC